ACGAACGCUGGCGGCGUGCCUAAUACAUGCAAGUAGAACGCACAGUUUAUACCGUAGCUUGCUACACCAUAGACUGUGAGUUGCGAACGGGUGAGUAACGCGUAGGUAACCUGCCUGGUAGCGGGGGAUAACUAUUGGAAACGAUAGCUAAUACCGCAUAAUAUUGAUUAUUGCAUGAUAAUUGAUUGAAAGAUGCUAUUGCAUCACUACCAGAUGGACCUGCGUUGUAUUAGCUAGUAGGUGAGGUAACGGCUCACCUAGGCGACGAUACAUAGCCGACCUGAGAGGGUGAUCGGCCACACUGGGACUGAGACACGGCCCAGACUCCUACGGGAGGAAGCAGUAGGGAAUCUUCGGCAAUGGACGAAAGUCUGACCGAGCAACGCCGCGUGAGUGAAGAAGGUUUUCGGAUCGUAAAGCUCUGUUGUAAGAGAAGAACGGGUGUGAGAGUGGAAAGUUCACACUGUGACGGUAUCUUACCAGAAAGGGACGGCUAACUACGUG
rnacentral:rRNA from 1 species